rnacentral:misc_RNA from 1 species
GAAAUGCGAUACGUAAUGCGAAUUGCAGAAACUUGUGAGUCAUCAAAACUUUGAACGCAACUUGCACUUCCUUUCGAGGGAGUAUGUCUGUUGGAGUGUCUGUUCAUCCCCACUUCUCUCCAUUUUUGGUAAGAAGCGCCGGCCGCUUGUCGCACGUCCCUCGGGGCGACGGAUGAGUGCGCCUAGAUGAAAGACCAACGAUCAAACGAACUCGCCCCUGCUUCACCCACUCCGGUGGGUUAGCUCGGUCGACGCGACGUGAAAGGUCUCGUACCUCAACAACGCGUCUUCAUUUCAAACGAGCUGUGCGAGCCUCGGCACCAAGAGUUCAUCCGACCGGACCUCCAAUCAGACAAGAUUACCCGCUGAAUUUAA